rnacentral:rRNA from 1 species
CAGUCGCCGCGGGAAUACGAAGGGUGCAAGCGUUGAUCGGAAUUACUGGGCGUAAAGCGUGCGUAGGCGGUGAGUUAAGUCUGCUGUGAAAUCCCCGGGCUCAACCUGGGAAUGGCAGUGGAUACUGGCUCGCUAGAGUGUGUCAGAGGAUGGUGGAAUUCCCGGUGUAGCGGUGAAAUGCGUAGAGAUCGGGAGGAACAUCAGUGGCGAAGGCGGCCAUCUGGGACAACACUGACGCUGAGGCACGAAAGCGUGGGGAGCAAACAGGAUUAGAUACCCCCGUAGUCCCUGUCUCUUAUAA